rnacentral:rRNA from 1 species
CCAGCAGCUGCGGUAAUUCCAGCUCCAAUAGCGUAUAUUUAAGUUGUUGCAGUUAAGAAGCUCGUAGUUGGAUUUCGGGCGGGUGACGGCGGUCCGCCUCUGGUUUGCACUGGUGCUCAUCCGCCUUACUGUCGGGGCCGGGCUCCUGGGCUUCACUGUCCGGGACCCGGGUUCGACAUGGUUACUUUGAGUAAACUAGAGUGUUGAAAGCAGGCGUUCGCCCUGAAUACAUUAGCAUGGAAUAGCACGAUAGGACUCUGGCCUAUUCUGCUGGUCUGUAGCACCGGAGUAAUGAUUAAGAGGGACAGUCGGGGGCAUUCGUAUUUCAUUGUCAGAGGUGAAAUUCUUGGAUUUAUGAAAGACGAACGUCUGCGAAAGCAUUUGCCAAGGAUGUUUUCAUUGAUCAAGAACGAAAGU